UCAUUUUGCUAUCAGUUCUCAUAAUUGUUACCUUGACUCACUUCAUUGCAUUUGAUACAGUGGUGAAACAUGAAUUCCAUUUUUAGCUAUUUGAUUUCGAUCGGUUUGGGCCUUUUAAUUUGUCUAUCCUUCUCGACAAAGUGUAAAAGUAACGAUGAAUGCCUUGGAGAGCAAAUUUGUCUGGGUGGCUCGUGUCUCUGAAAAUAAAUAGAUGAAUUUAUCUGAGUA